GCGUUUGUCACGUUCACUUCUCCAUCGACACUUUGAUACAAGCAGGUAGAAUCGCAUGGAAUUACUUUUCUCACAACAUAUCUUGGAGCCGAGAUUGUAUUUUCGCUGGAGUCGCACAGGAUGAAAAUGGAGAUGGACAGUGCAGGCAAGCUGACAAGUUUAUAACUCCUGCAACAGACUCUUGACAUAUGGAUUUUAAGUUUCCUAUGUGCCUGUGGAAGCAUCGUGCCACUGAAAGGAGUGCUAGGCUUCAGAAAGAAGGGUUCACUAUGCGAAACACUGUCACUGCAUAUUGAUGUGUACUGCUGUAUGCCAUUGUGAAGUCAAAAGCAAAGAACAAUGAAAACACAGUCGAGAAAAUCAUGACAAAGCCAAACAGAAAAAGACGGAAAUGGCUGUGGUCCAAGCCCUAAUGCUGGAAAGUCGAAGACGCAAGAUAAGAAUCAUGCCUUCCUCUAUGACUAAGCAUUGACAUUUAAAUGUUUAGAAUAUACUUGAAGUGAUACACGGUAAGCCCCACCUGAGAGUGUUUUUCUUAGAAACGCGUCCCCACGCUCGGCAUAAAAGGAAAGACAGAGAUCUAGCUAUAUGACAUUCCUGCUUUUUGGAAUGAAAUGGAAUGUUAGUUUUACUGUUCUGUGCAAAGAGCCAUUAUUAAAGGAUUGUGAUGCAUAGCCAAGCAUGUGGGAAAGUAUCUGUGCACUUCAGCUCAGCAUACCUGUGUCUCUGUCCUGAGAACUGGCUGGAAUUUGAUAGCUGAUAUAUUGCCUGUGUUAGCAGUUCAACGUCUAACAUCUUUCUUCUAGCUCCUUAUUAGGAAAAUGUUAUGUUUAACUCUUUGUUAUUGCCCCUUUAUUGAUUUUAUUACUGGAUACCUUUCCUGAAAGAUUGGUACAAUUCUGAAAUAUCACUUAUAGUGCUUUAGAAUGACUUUGUAUAUACUGUAAUAGUGACUUUCAAUCACAUUAACAGAGGCAAGUUAGUGUGUGUGUAUUUUAAAUCUGAAGGGCUUAUAGAAGGUUAACACAAGUUUUUUGCGUUAACAUGCUUUUGUAACUCGAGUUUCAUUUAAGAGUGCCAUUAAGA